rnacentral:rRNA from 1 species
AGCCCCUCCCAAGAUAAAUUCUCACCAGACUCUUGAAGUCUCUAAAGGGCCGUUGAAGACGACGACGUUGAUAGGCUGGGUGUGGAAGUGCAGUAAUGUAUGAAGCUAACCAGUACUAAUUGCCCGUGAGGCUUGACCAU